GGGGGUGAAAGGCUUCGACAGAGAUCUUUUUUCAAAAUCGGCAAUUCCAGUAUUCUGGAAUCUGGUAAAACUUCCGGAAAACAGAGAUAAGUGCUAACUUAUUUCAAAAACCCGCUUACGCUUACGCGUAGGCCAUCCGGCCUUAACUAUUCUCGAUAAUAAGGAUCGGGUGUUAUAAUCUCGAGAUAGGUAGAACCGCUUUUGCUUCAGGCAGUUCUCCGAAAAGUCAGAAGCUAGAAACUUCGGCUUAUGCUUUUGCCUGUUUUAUAUCCGCUGUUUCGAAAAUUAAAACAGACUAAAUUUGUAGAGAGAUUUUGAUAAUAUUUCUGGACGGGACUUCAAUGUCCCCACCUCCACCU
rnacentral:tmRNA from 3 species